rnacentral:misc_RNA from 1 species
AAAGCAAAAAUCAACAAUCCUUGCUUUGUUUCUUUCUGCGACUUCUUCUUCUAAUUCAAAAUCAUAUCAACCCCAAAUUUAGACCAAAAAUCCAUCUCUCCUUAAAGUCACCGGCAUCACUCUCACUGUUCAUUGGUGCUGCAAUACUUUUCUAACUUAUGGGCAAUCGCACACGAUAGUUGAAGUCACCACGACAUCAUCGUUCAUUGUUGCCGUUCUUUAGCGUCGUCG